CCAGGCCUAAAUUUAUCUUUUUCCUCCUAAAUUUUAACUAUUUUUCUCUCUCUAAACUAAGCUAUUUCUCCCCCUCUUUUUCUAAAAUCUCAACCCUCUCAUUCUCUCUAACCUUGACUCUAUUUCUCUUCCUAUUUCUUUAAUUAUGCUUUCUCUUUCUAACCUAUGUUCUCUCUCUUUUUUUUCUAAAACGAUAUUAAAAUUUUUUAUAGUAUUAUUUAAGAUUAAUUUAAAAAAUAAAUUAAUUAAUUGUAUAUUUUUCGUAAUCUUAAAUAACAUGACUAAAUGAUAUGAACCAAAUACCGAAAUACUACAUUCUUAGUAAUAGGAUAAAUAGGAAUAAAAGUCUCGAAUAUUUUGUUACGCAUAAUAAUCUUUCAUAGUGCGAACGAAACGCGCCCUAAACGCGGCCUAAAGGUAAUAAAAUUGGUUGCAUGGGGGUUAUU
rnacentral:lncRNA from 1 species